rnacentral:RNase_P_RNA from 1 species
GCUACCAGCCGGGUUAUCGCUCCGCUUUGCGGGGAGGAAAGUCUGGACAGCGCAGGGCAAUGCACCGGUGAAGAGCCGGGUAUGGGGUCCCGGGUCAAGUGCCCGGGAUUCGAUAACAGAAAGUGCCACAGAAAAUUACAGCCCAGCCCCGUCCCGGAUCAAGUCCGGGAUGACAAGGUUGAGUGAUGGUGAAAACGUGAGGUAAGAGCUCACGACUAUGCCUGGCGACAGUCAUAGUGGGUAAACCUUGCAUGCUGAAAUGCCACGUAUACCAUCGGUUGAAGCGGCCCGCUUUAGUUUCUGUGUCAUCCCGGACCUGAUCCGGGAGGCCGGGACACGAUGGAGGGUAGGCAGAUUGAUCCGCCGGGUAACCGGCAGGACAGAUAAAUGAUAACCGCCCGCCGCAAGGAGGGAACAGAAUCCGGCUUACAGGCUGGUAGCAAGU